UACGGAGGGUGCAAGCGUUGUUCGGAAUCAUUGGGCGUAAAGGGCGCGUAGGCGGGACGUUAAGUCCGAUGUGAAAUCCCUCGGCUCAACUGAGGACGUGCAUCGGAUACUGGCGACCUUGAGUCCUGGAGAGGGUAGCGGAAUUCCCAGUGUAGAGGUGAAAUGCGUAGAUAGUUGGGAGGAACACCGGUGGCGAAGGCGGCUACCUGGACAGUGACUGACGCUGAGGCGCGAAAGCAUGGGUAGCAAACAGG
rnacentral:rRNA from 1 species